CUUAAAAUAACCCUUUUUACUCUAAACUUUUAAAUUUGGAUUCAUCAGGACUUAGUGCUGCAGAAAGGCACAUGUAUCCAAAAAAUGUACAUAAGCCUAAGGUACUUUGGAAAGAUAUUCUAACAGGACAAUGGAAAGGUCCUGACCCAGUGAUUGUCUGGAGUCGGGGUUUUGUUUGUGUGUUUCCACAGGAAGAACAGCAGACGAUUUGGAUUCCAGAGAGAUUAACUAAAAC
rnacentral:lncRNA from 1 species